CAGCAGCCGCGGUAACACGUAGGUGGCGAGCGUUGUCCGGAAUUAUUGGGCGUAAAGGGAGCGCAGGCGGACAUAUAAGUCCAUCUUAAAAGUGCGGGGCUCAACCCCGUGAGGGGAUGGAAACUGUAUGCCUUGAGUGCAGGAGAGGAAAGCGGAAUUCCCAGUGUAGCGGUGAAAUGCGUAGAUAUUGGGAGGAACACCAGUGGCGAAGGCGGCUUUCUGGACUGUAACUGACGCUGAGGCUCGAAAGCCAGGGGAGCGAACGGGAUUAGAGACCCGAGUAGUCCCUGUCUCUUAUACA
rnacentral:rRNA from 1 species